rnacentral:lncRNA from 1 species
UUUUGGUGAUCAUGAUGUGUUUGGAGAUCUUACUUUACUGGACAUUCUUCUUCCUACAAUUAUCUCUAUCUAUAAUGAACUUGGCCCAGUAAUUACAGUGGAAAAUAUAUUCUAAAAAUUUUCAAAAAUUUACGAAAAUUGUUAAAAAUUGACUAUAAAGGGCAAUAACUCCUUAAUGGGUCAACUGACCAUUUUCGUCAUGUUGACUUAUUUGUAGAUCUUACUUUGCUGGAAAAACCCAACUAGAGGCUCUCAAGAGCCUGUGUCGCUCAUCUUGGUCUAUGUGCAUAUUAACAAUGGACACAGAUAAAUUCAUGACAAAAUGGUGUUUUGGUGAUGGUAAUGUGUUUGUAGAUCUUUCUUUACUGAACAUUCUUGUUGCUACAAUUAUCUCUAUCUAUAAUGAACUUGGCCCAGUAAUUACAGUGGAAAAUAUUUCCUAAAAAUUUAUGAAAAUUGUUAACAAUUGACUAUGAAGGGCAAUAACUCCUUAAGGGGUCAAUUGACAGUUUUGGUCAUGUUGACUUAUUUGUAGAUCUUAUUUUGCUGAACAUUAUUGCUGUUUACAGUUUAUCUCUAUCUAUAAUAAUAUUAAAGACUAGAGGCUCUAAAGAGCCUGUGUCGCUCACCUUGGUCUUGUGCAUAUUAAACAAUGGACACGGAUAAAUUCAUGACAUAAUUGUGUUUUGGUGAUAGUGAUGUGUUUGUAGAUCUUACUUUACUGAACAUUCUUGUUGCUACAAUUAUCUCUAUCUAUAAUGAACUUGGCCCAGUAAUUACAGUGGAAAAUAUUUUCUAAAAAUUAACAAAAAAUUUAUGAAAAAAUGUUAAAAAUUAACUAUAAAGGGCAAUAACUCCUUAAGGGGUCAAUUGACUAUUUUGGUCAUGUAAACUUAUUUGUAGAUCUUAUUUUGCUGAACGUUAUUGCUGUAUACAGUUUAUCUCUAUCUAUAAUAAUAUUCAAGAUAAUAACAAAAAACGGCAAAUUUCCUUAAAAUUACCAAUUCAGGACAGUAACCUAACAAUGGGUUAUCCGAUCCAUGUGAAAACAUCAGGGCAGAUAGAUCUUGACCUGAUAAACAAUUAAACCCUGUCAGAUUUUCUCUUAAUGCUUUGGUUUUUGAGUUAUAAGCCAAAAACUGCAUUUAACCCCUAUGUUCUAUUAUUAGCCGCGGCAGCCAUUUUGGUUGAUUGGCCAGGUCACGCCACACAUUUUUUAAAC